AUGUGGUUGUUAUCAUAAAGUAGAAAACAGAUAUUUUUGUGUUCCAAUCAAAUCAUCUAAUCAUCCACCGGUGUUCCUGGAGGAAGACUAAGUCUUUGUUUAUCCCAGAAUCAAAUUCCCAACAAAAAGACAAGGCAAUGGCAGCCGCCAGCAACCUUAGCUUCCAUGGAAAAGCUUCAGAGGCUUAAUUGGCAAAACGAGCACGAUGUUGUGGUUGACAGAAGAUAGAGAGCACAAAUGAACAUAUACACCCAGUCACCCAGACCCAGGAAAAUGAUUGUGUAUGAUCAGUUUUGUGCUCUCUUUUCUUCUGUCAACAUAUUAUAUAUUAUGAUCUUCAUGCAGUCCCAGUUCCAGUUCCAGAUAUAUGCAGAUAUGCCCUUCGUUACCGAUGCUUCUUAUAUAUUAUGAUCUUCCAAUGAAGGUAAGAGUUAGUGAUUACAUGAAUAUAUAUAAAGUCUCAUGAUCUAAGUGAUUACAUGUAUAUAUAAGCUCAGAUUAAUUGCAUGGAGCAGCAAUUCUUUCUUGGCUCAAGCUCAAGGUACGCAAUCAGAUAUUUGAAUUUUAUUUGUCUAGCUGCUUGUGCUUGGUGGUCUCUUUACCAUUAAUAUUCUAACUAACUUUGACUUGUUUGACUCCUUGUAGAGAGGUCUCUUUACCAUUAACAUGUACAUGUAAUGAUAGUAUGCUUACCCAAAAAGCUAGAGAAAUUAAUUUUAGGGUGAAGCAUGGGACUAGCUAGCUUAACAUGACAGUUGAACAAAUAAAUAAAUAAAUUCAUCUGUCAGUACAAUGCAAUGGAUGAUGGGGUUGGAGCUCAGCUGGGUCAAAACACAACUCGUACGUUCUUGUUCUUGAGGAGCAGCAACGUUGUUUGAUUUGAACUUUGCUACAGAUAAUGAAUGCUGCUGCAAGGGGUUGCCAAAUCUCUCUAGUUUGUUGGUUUUCAUACUUGGGGAAAUGUUGUCUUUGGAUUCUAUAACUGUGAUUACAUGUGUAUAUAUAUAUAUAUAUAAAAUGUCUCAUGAUCUUAGUGAUUACAUGUAUAUAAGCGCAGAUUAAUUGCAUGGAGCAGCAAUUCUUUCUUGGCUCAAGCUCAAGUGCAAUGCAAUGGAUGAUGGGGUUGGAGCUCAGCUUGGUCAAAACAGAACACAUACGUUCUUGUUCUUGAGGAGCAGCAACGUUGUUUGAACUUUGCUUCAGACAAUGAAUGCUGCUGCAAGGGGUUGCCAGAUCUCUCUAGUUUGUUGGUUUUCGUACUUGGGGAAAUGUUGUUUUUGGAUUCUAUAGCUAUAAACUAAUGGAGAGAGAGGCUUCUUCUCUUCUUCUAUCGAUCAAUCAAUCAAGGCUGAUCGGUUCACUGUUCAUCUAUAUUAUCUUAAUUGGUUUUACAGAAUCUCUUCUUCUUGUUUCUUGCUCUUAACUCUCUUCUCUGGUGUGGACUGAUUCAUUGGGGAGUGUGCAUGCAUGCUAGCUACAUUAUAUCUAUAUCUAUCUAUAGGAGGACUGCACUU